rnacentral:rRNA from 1 species
GAUGAACGCUGGCGGCGUGCCUAAUACAUGCAAGUCGAGCGAACGGACGAGAAGCUUGCUUUUCUGAUGUUAGCGGCGGACGGGUGAGUAACACGUGGAUAACCUACCUAUAAGACUGGGAUAACUUCGGGAAACCGGAGCUAAUACCGGAUAAUAUUUUGAACCGCAUGGUUCAAAAGUGAAAGACGGUCUUGCUGUCACUUAUAGAUGGAUCCGCGCUGCAUUAGCUAGUUGGUAAGGUAACGGCUUACCAAGGCAACGAUGCAUAGCCGGCCUGAGAGGGUGAUCGGCCACACUGGAACUGAGACACGGUCCAGACUCCUACGGGAGGCAGCAGUAGGGAAUCUUCCGCAAUGGGCGAAAGCCUGACGGAGCAACGCCGCGUGAGUGAUGAAGGUCUUCGGAUCGUAAAACUCUGUUAUUAGGGAAGAACAUAUGUGUAAGUAACUGUGCACAUCUUGACGGUACCUAAUCAGAAAGCCACGGCUAACUACGUGCCAGCAGCCGCGGUAAUACGUAGGUGGCAAGCGUUAUCCGGAAUUAUUGGGCGUAAAGCGCGCGUAGGCGGUUUUUUAAGUCUGAUGUGAAAGCCCACGGCUCAACCGUGGAGGGUCAUUGGAAACUGGAAAACUUGAGUGCAGAAGAGGAAAGUGGAAUUCCAUGUGUAGCGGUGAAAUGCGCAGAGAUAUGGAGGAACACCAGUGGCGAAGGCGACUUUCUGGUCUGUAACUGACGCUGAUGUGCGAAAGCGUGGGGAUCAAACAGGAUUAGAUACCCUGGUAGUCCACGCCGUAAACGAUGAGUGCUAAGUGUUAGGGGGUUUCCGCCCCUUAGUGCUGCAGCUAACGCAUUAAGCACUCCGCCUGGGGAGUACGACCGCAAGGUUGAAACUCAAAGGAAUUGACGGGGACCCGCACAAGCGGUGGAGCAUGUGGUUUAAUUCGAAGCAACGCGAAGAACCUUACCAAAUCUUGACAUCCUUUGACAACUCUAGAGAUAGAGCCUUCCCCUUCGGGGGACAAAGUGACAGGUGGUGCAUGGUUGUCGUCAGCUCGUGUCGUGAGAUGUUGGGUUAAGUCCCGCAACGAGCGCAACCCUUAAGCUUAGUUGCCAUCAUUAAGUUGGGCACUCUAAGUUGACUGCCGGUGACAAACCGGAGGAAGGUGGGGAUGACGUCAAAUCAUCAUGCCCCUUAUGAUUUGGGCUACACACGUGCUACAAUGGACAAUACAAAGGGCAGCGAAACCGCGAGGUCAAGCAAAUCCCAUAAAGUUGUUCUCAGUUCGGAUUGUAGUCUGCAACUCGACUACAUGAAGCUGGAAUCGCUAGUAAUCGUAGAUCAGCAUGCUACGGUGAAUACGUUCCCGGGUCU